rnacentral:rRNA from 1 species
GAUGAACGCUGGCGGCGUGCCUAAUACAUGCAAGUCGAGCGAACAGACGAGGAGCUUGCUCCUCUGACGUUAGCGGCGGACGGGUGAGUAACACGUGGAUAACCUACCUAUAAGACUGGGAUAACUUCGGGAAACCGGAGCUAAUACCGGAUAAUAUAUUGAACCGCAUGGGGCAAUAGUGAAAGACGGUUUUGCUGUCACUUGUAGAUGGAUCCGCGCCGCAUUAGCUAGUUGGUAAGGUAAAGGCUUACCAAGGCAACGAUGCGUAGCCGACCUGAGAGCGUGAUCGGCCACCCUGGAACUGAGACACGGUCCAGACUCCUACGGGAGGCAGCGGUAGGGAAUCUUCCGCAAUGGGCGAAAGCUUGACGGAGCAACGCCGCGUGAGUGAUGAAGGUCUUCGGAUCGUAAAACUCUGUUAUUAGGGAAGAACAAAUGUGUAAGUAACUAUGCACGUCGUGACGGUACCUAAUCAGAAAGCCACGGCUAACUACGUG